GGACCCGCACAAGCGGUGGAGCACCUGGUUCAAUUCGACAACAAGCGAGGAACCUCACCUGGGUUUGACAUCCCGAGAAUCUCCUGGAAACAGGGGAGUGCCUUUUGGAACUCGGAGACAGGUGCUGCAUGGUUGUCGUCAGCUCGUGCCUUGAGGUGUUCGGUUAAGUCCGUAAACGAGCGCAACCCUUGUUCUAUGUUGAAUUUUUCAUAGAAGACUGCCGAUUCUAAAUCGGAGGAAGGUAAGGAUGACGUCAAAUCAGCACGGCCUUUAUAUCCAGGGCUACACAGGUGCUACAAUGGCCAGUACAAUGGGCAGCAAUAGAGUAAUCUGGAGCCAAUCCUAAAAACUGGCCUCAAUUCAGAUUGAGGGCUGCAACUCGCCCUCAUGAAGCCGGAAUCGCUAGUAACCGCAGAUCAGCAACGCUGCGGUGAAUAUGUUCCCGGGUCUU
rnacentral:rRNA from 1 species